rnacentral:rRNA from 1 species
UAGGGAAGUCUUCCACAAUGGGCGAAAGGCCUGAUGGAGCAACGCCGCGUGUGUGAUGAAGGGUUUCGGCUCGUAAAACACUGUUGUAAGAGAAGAAUGACAUUGAGAGUAACUGUUCAAUGUGUGACGGUAUCUUACCAGAAAGGAACGGCUAAAUACGUGCCAG